AAGAACCCCCCGCGCCCGGGCAACCGGGCGCGCGGACCCACCCUUUGUCUUUGGCGCACCGUACGUUUCCCCGGCAGGUCCGCCUGCCAACGGGGACCCCAUCAAAACCCUCAGUAGUAUGCAGUAAACGUCAACUCACAAUAAUCA
rnacentral:misc_RNA from 1 species